rfam:Heterorhabditis bacteriophora unplaced genomic scaffold Scaffold593, whole genome shotgun sequence.
AAACUUACUUGACUGGGGGCUCUCGUGACCACGAAGGCGGGACCCCCAUGGUGAGGCUUGUCCACUGCACUUCGGGACCGGCUGGCCUAUGUGGCAGCUUCAAGUUGGAGUUCACCAACAGCUAAGUCUUUGUGUAUGAGGCUGCGUUGGCGCGUCCCUGUU